rnacentral:rRNA from 1 species
UUUUUACUUUUAAUUUUUCCUAAUUUAGUUUAUUUAAAAAAUUUUUUUUGUAAAAUUUUAAUUCAAUAUAAUUUAUUUCAUUCUUUUAUAAAAACUGCACCUUGGCCUAAAAAUUUUCUUAAUCAAAGAAAUUGAAUAAUAUUUCUACAUAUUAUUAAUAAAAAGAGGUAUACAAAUUGUUAUAUGAUUACAAAUAAAAGUAAGAUUUUGGGGUUAAAUCCUUUAAAGAAUAAAUUCCUCAAAUUAGUUAAAAAAUACCGCCAAUUAUAUUUAGUUUCAUGAAUUUCACUUACUACCAAAAAUAUUUGAAUAAAAAUAGUGGGGUAUCUAAUCCCAGUUUA